UACAAAGUAGUACUAUCACUAUGUAUAGUUGAAGUGUUUUUCUAUCGUAUAUAUAAACCGGACCAUUGCAAGUAAUUUUAUAAUUGAAAAACGUUCAAAAUGGCAAAACUUACACUCGUUCUCUUGGCAGCCGUCUUUGUAGCCGUUUUGGCUACCCAAGAAGUCAGCGCCGGUGCUGUCAAAGGUGCAGAAGCUCCUCGUGCUGCUGGACUUGGAGCAGACUGCGAAUGUAACGCAUGCAGUAAAGAAUGCACAUCCGAGAGCUCCGACUACAUUGGAGGUAUUUGUUACCAAGGCCAAUGUGUUUGUGCCUCCCUUGGCUAAACUAAAUAAUGUGAUAAAGUUUAAUUAAUAAAGUGUUAAAUUGAA